GUUAGGAAUAUUGGACAAUGGGCGAAAGCCUGAUCCAGCCAUGCCGCGUGAACGAUGAAGGCCUUCGGGUUGUAUAGUUCUUUAGCCGAUGAUUAUAAUGACUGUAGUCGGAAAAUAAGCCCCGGCUAACUUCGUGACAGCAGCCGCGGUAAUACGAAGGGGGCGAGCGUUAUUCGGAAUCACUGGGCGUAAAGCGUGCGUAGGCGGUUUUGUAAGUUAGGAGUGAAAGCCCAGGGCUCAACCUUGGAAUUGCCCUUAAAACUGCAAGGCUCGAAUCUCGGAGAGGAUAGCGGAAUUUCCAGUGUAGCAGUGAAAUGCGUAGAUAUUGGAAGGAACACCAGUGGCGUAAGCGGCUAUCUGGACGAGUAUUGACGCUGAGGCACGAAAGCGUGGGGAUCAAACAGGAUUAGAUACCCUGGUAGUCC
rnacentral:rRNA from 1 species